rnacentral:tRNA from 1 species
UGGCUCAGUUGGUAGAGUGCUUGCCUAGCAUGCAUGAGGCCCUGAGUUCAAUUCCUCAG